UACGUAGGGGGCAAGCGUUGUCCGGAUUUAUUGGGCGUAAAGAGCGUGUAGGCGGCCUGAAAGGUCAGCUGUGAAAACUCGAGGCUCAACCUCGAGACGUCGGUUGAAACCAUCUGGCUAGAGUCCGGAAGAGGAGUGUGGAAUUCCCGGUGUAGCGGUGAAAUGCGCAGAUAUCGGGAAGAACACCCGUGGCGAAGGCGGCACUCUGGGACGGUACUGACGCUGAGACGCGAAAAGCUAGGGGAGCAAACAGG
rnacentral:rRNA from 1 species